AUUGAACGCUGGCGGCAGGCCUAACACAUGCAAGUCGAACGAGUGGCGGACGGGUGAGUAAUGUAUGGGAAACUGCCCGAUGGAGGGGGAUCACUACUGGAAACGGUAGCUAAUCCCGCCUACAAUCGUCUGUGCACAGAUGGGAUUAGCUAGUAGGGGGGGUAACGUCUCACCUAGGCGACGAUCCCUAGCUGGGCUGAGAGGAUGACCAGCCACACUGGAACUGAGACACGGUCCAGACUCCUACGGGAGGCAGGAGUGGGGAAGAUGGCACAAUGGGCGCAAGCCUGAUGCAGCCAUGCCGCGUGUAUGAAGAAGGCCUUCGGGUUGUAAAGUACUUUCAGCGAGGAGGCGUUACUCGCAGAAGAAGCACCGGCUAACUCCGUGCCAGCAGCCGCGGUAAUAC
rnacentral:rRNA from 1 species